GUUCAAACUUUGAAUGAAAAUUUUUACUUCAUAUUAUGUGACUGCUCAAAUAACGUAGAACUGACUCUUACUUAAUUUUUUUUGUAUAACUUUCCUGAUGUUUUCACCAAAACCAAAUCAUUAUAAUACGAAAUCAUUAUCAAACACGAUUCUUGUUCAGGAUUUGUCCACUACUUGCGGAAGAACGUAUUGCUCUAUUAUAUAAAAACAUAUUUGUUAAAAAAAUGUUUAUUUUCAUUCAUAAUUUUUAUUUUGUAUACGAGUUUACUGCACCUGAAAAUCCAUAAUCAUUAUCAUUUCCCAAAAGCUGAGCACGAAGCUCCGUACCAUCAACGAGAAUUGACAGUUGUUUGUCAUGUGUUGUCAUGUAAGUCGGAUGUGAUAUGGAUGCCGAAAUUUUGCUUCUUUAUUUCGCUGCUGUGGAACAAAUUCAAGGAUGCAAGUUUCUGCUCAAAGUGAAGCAAUGGUCACAGGCGUACGAGGUUAUCAUGGAACAUAUUGUCACGGACUGUGUUAUCAACGUCAACUUCCCUUAUUUGGAAUAACUACUGAACGAGUUCAAGGAUGUCAAAAAAAUCUCCAAAAAGUUCAUCAAAGGGCAGAUUUUGAGCGACUUUAUCGAGCUAAAUGUGAAGUUUGACCUGCUCGGGAUGCUCUCGACGACGAGGUGGCCGAGGCUCUGUUCGAAGAACUCAAGCCCAAACUAUCCGAUCUGUGCUCCGUGAUCAAGAAGUUUCCCUGUCCGACGCCGAAGCAUCGGCUCUGUCAGAGCGAAACCACCCAGCGGUUGGCAUGUCUCAUUCGGCAUUCUCCGCUCAGGAUCUGCGUAUUAACAGCUGUGUGUUCAUGCGAAAUGCGCUCGAAAAGCAGCCUUUUCCCCGGGAGUAUGUGCUCGAGGAAUUGCUGCUUAUGCUAAGCGCGUUUCUGGACGAGGAUUCAACGAGUAUCAAUGAGAUAGUGUUUGAAGGCAAAUUUUAAUGUUAUUUUUAGUUUAGUUUAGAUUAUUACUGCAAUAGGGAAAUAAAAAGACACUCAAGAAUGAACACACAUUCUCUUGUAGGCAAAAAAAAAACUAUUGAAAAAAUAUAUGGCAACAGAGCGUGUGAAAUGAAUCAUGAUAUUUAUGUAUGUUUGGAAAUAAAAUAAUUUGGCAUAUAGUAUAGUGCAA